rnacentral:rRNA from 1 species
GACGUCCAGAAUUCGAAAGGGGUGGAUUCAACUGCAUCCCGGCCUGUCCUGGCUGUCCUCCGCGAGAUGGUGCUGGCCGCCCGGGGCGAUUUAUUUCGCUUGCGGUGUCGUAACCGGUGCUGACUCUGCGGUGUGGCGUGUAUCUCAGGCGCACGGGGCAGCGCACUUCCCCCCUAGUAGAAACGUCGCGACCCGUUGGGUGCCGGUCUAAGGCCUGGAGUGGAGCACGCGUUGCCCACGGCGGUGUCAAGCCACCGUGGUUUCGCGGACCUCCGGUGACCUGGCUGGCUGCCCGACGGUAUGACAAGAGGAGCCGAUCCGCUAUUUGGAAAGCAUUAUGAGUUGUGAAGCGUCCGGCCCUGCGACGGCGCGCGCGAGCUCUGUCUCGCCGUCGUACGUAGGUGUCCUCGGACUGGAUCGAUACUCCUGUCUGCGGCGCCCACCUUCGGAUGGUCUCCCGC